rnacentral:rRNA from 1 species
UACGAAGGGGGCUAGCGUUGUUCGGAAUUACUGGGCGUAAAGCGCGCGUAGGCGGUCUUCCAAGUCAGUGGUGAAAGCCUGGAGCUCAACUCCAGAACUGCCAUUGAAACUGUUAGACUUGAGUACGAGAGAGGUGAGUGGAAUUCCCAGUGUAGAGGUGAAAUUCGUAGAUAUUGGGAAGAACACCAGUGGCGAAGGCGGCUCACUGGCUCGUAACUGACGCUCAGGCGCGACAGCGUGGGGAUCAAACAGG